rnacentral:SRP_RNA from 1 species
GGUCUUGCGCAACAGAGCACUUCGAACCGUGUCAGGUCCUGACGGAAGCAGCACUAAGGAGCAAACUCUGUGUGCCGCAAGGUCGCCUAGG